AGGGCGCGGCGCAGUGCCUCCUGGGUCGGCGUAGCCAUGGCGGCUCGUGUCCUUUGCGUCUGUGUCCGCCGACUGCCCGCCGCCUUCGCGCCGCUGCCCCGGCUCCCCACGCUGGCGGCGGCCCGGUCACUCUGCACUACCCUGUUCCCUGCGGGGGCCAGAGCGAGGUCUUGGGCUCCGCAUCCGGCCUCGGUGCUCACGCAGGUUCCAGGUGGAGUUACACCGCUGUGCCGCCAGUAUAGUGAUGCACCCCCUUUGACAUUAGAGGGCAUCAAGGACCGUGUUCUUUACGUCUUGAAACUCUAUGACAAGAUUGACCCAGAAAAGCUCUCAGUAAAUUCCCAUUUUAUGAAAGACCUGGGCUUAGACAGUUUGGACCAAGUGGAGAUUAUCAUGGCCAUGGAAGACGAAUUUGGUAACACACACGGGCUGAGUCUUGGACCUGCCCGUCGUGGCUCUUGAUUUCGGUGGAUUAAAUGCAGAGGAAUGCUGGGAGCCUGAUUGGGGGUUUGAAAUUCCUGAUAUAGAUGCGGAGAAGUUAAUGUGCCCACAAGAAAUUGUAGAUUACAUUGCAGAUAAGAAGGAUGUAUAUGAAUAAAAUAUCAGACCCCUUUUCUUCACUGAGAGAAGACUCAGAAGAUGCUGGCGAGUGUCUGGAAGUGAGAACGCAUCUCUGCAUCAUUGCUGACUUUGACAGAGUAAUUCUGUUUAGACUUGUACUUAAAUUGUCUUAAGUGUUUUUGCCUGUUGAAAAUAAAUCUAUAAAACCA